GGGGAACAGUCCUAGCUCAGUUGCAGAUCAUCUGCUUUGCAUGUAGAAGGUCCCAGAUUCAAUCCCUGGCAUCCCCA